rnacentral:lncRNA from 1 species
GGGCCGGGCCGCGCGCGGGCCGGGCGGGCAGAGCGCGCGCCGGGCGCCUCAGCGCCUCAGCGCUGCCUUCCCGCGCAGCGCCCGGGGAUCCUGCCUCCAUCCCUGCCUCUUCCCUCAGUCCUUCCCUCGGUCCCUGCUCCUUCCCUCGGUCCCUGCCUCCUUCCUUCAAUCCCUGCUCCUUCCCUCGGUUCCUGCAUCCUUCCCUCAAUCCCCGCUCCUUCCCCCGAUCCCCGCUCCUUCCUUCGAUCCCUGCUUUUCCCUCAAUCCCUGCUCCUUCCCCGAUUCCUGCUCUUCCCUCAAUCCCUGCUCCUUCCCGAUCCCUGCUCCUUCCCGAUCCCUGCUCUUCCCUCAAUCCCUGCUCCUUCCCUCGAUCCCUGCUCUUCCCUCAAUCCCUGCUCCUUCCUUCAAUCCCUGCUCCUUCCCCGAUCCCUGCUCCUUCCCUCGAUCCCUGCUCUUCCCUCAAUCCCUGCUCCUUCCCUCGAUCCCUGCUCCUUCCCCGAUCCCUGCUCCUUCCCCGAUCCCUGCUCCUUCCCGAUCCCUGCUCUUCCCCGAUCCCUGCUCCUUCCUCGAUCCCUGCUCCUUCCCGAUCCCUGCUCUUCCCGAUCCCUGCUCUUCCCUCGAUCCCUGCUCCUUCCUUCGAUCCCUGCUCCUUCCCCCGAUCCCUGCUCCUUCCCUCGGUCCCCGCUCCUUCCCCGAUCCCUGCCUCCUUCCUUCAAUCCCUGCCUCCUUCCUUCAAUCCCUGCUCCUUCCUUCAAUCCCUGCUCCUUCCUUCAAUCCCUGCUCUUCCCCGAUCCCUGCUCCUUCCUCGAUCCCUGCUCCUUCCCGAUCCCUGCUCUUCCCGAUCCCUGCUCUUCCCUCACACACGCACUCGUGUAAGCGUCAGCCAGCCCCGCUCCUUGGAGAGGGAGUUUCCCCCCAGCCGCCGCCAGCUUUCCUCUCCGGUGGGGCUUUCGGAAUAAAAGCGUGAACGAAGGGAAACUCGUGCGGCUGUUGUGGUUGUUUCUCCUUCCCCGCCCCUUGGUGUUUCCACACUGGGGAGACGGGCAGCGCAACUUUCCCUCCUUUAUCGCGCCGUGUUCGCGGCUCCGGACAGCUUGAAGCGCCAGGAGGCUGCGCCAGGAUUUUCCCAUUUCCAUUCUGGAAUUUCCGCUGGUGCAUCAGGAGAGCGUCAGGCACGGUGGAA